CGCUGGCGGCAGGCCUAACACAUGCAAGUCGAACGGUAACAGGAAGCAGCUUGCUGCUUUGCUGACGAGUGGCGGACGGGUGAGUAAUGUCUGGGAAACUGCCUGAUGGAGGGGGAUAACUACUGGAAACGGUAGCUAAUACCGCAUAACGUCGCAAGACCAAAGAGGGGGACCUUCGGGCCUCUUGCCAUCGGAUGUGCCCAGAUGGGAUUAGCUAGUAGGUGGGGUAACGGCUCACCUAGGCGACGAUCCCUAGCUGGUCUGAGAGGAUGACCAGCCACACUGGAACUGAGACACGGUCCAGACUCCUACGGGAGGCAGCAGUGGGGAAUAUUGCACAAUGGGCGCAAGCCUGAUGCAGCCAUGCCGCGUGUAUGAAGAAGGCCUUCGGGUUGUAAAGUACUUUCAGCGGGGAGGAAGGGAGUAAAGUUAAUACCUUUGCUCAUUGACGUUACCCGCAGAAGAAGCACCGGCUAACUCCGUGCCAGCAGCCGCGGUAAUACGGAGGGUGCAAGCGUUAAUCGGAAUUACUGGGCGUAAAGCGCACGCAGGCGGUUUGUUAAGUCAGAUGUGAAAUCCCCGGGCUCAACCUGGGAACUGCAUCUGAUACUGGCAAGCUUGAGUCUCGUAGAGGGGGGUAGAAUUCCAGGUGUAGCGGUGAAAUGCGUAGAGAUCUGGAGGAAUACCGGUGGCGAAGGCGGCCCCCUGGACGAAGACUGACGCUCAGGUGCGAAAGCGUGGGGAGCAAACAGGAUUAGAUACCCUGGUAGUCCACGCCGUAAACGAUGUCGACUUGGAGGUUGUGCCCUUGAGGCGUGGCUUCCGGAGCUAACGCGUUAAGUCGACCGCCUGGGGAGUACGGCCGCAAGGUUAAAACUCAAAUGAAUUGACGGGGGCCCGCACAAGCGGUGGAGCAUGUGGUUUAAUUCGAUGCAACGCGAAGAACCUUACCUGGUCUUGACAUCCACGGAAGUUUUCAGAGAUGAGAAUGUGCCUUCGGGAACCGUGAGACAGGUGCUGCAUGGCUGUCGUCAGCUCGUGUUGUGAAAUGUUGGGUUAAGUCCCGCAACGAGCGCAACCCUUAUCCUUUGUUGCCAGCGGUCCGGCCGGGAACUCAAAGGAGACUGCCAGUGAUAAACUGGAGGAAGGUGGGGAUGACGUCAAGUCAUCAUGGCCCUUACGACCAGGGCUACACACGUGCUACAAUGGCGCAUACAAAGAGAAGCGACCUCGCGAGAGCAAGCGGACCUCAUAAAGUGCGUCGUAGUCCGGAUUGGAGUCUGCAACUCGACUCCAUGAAGUCGGAAUCGCUAGUAAUCGUGGAUCAGAAUGCCACGGUGAAUACGUUCCCGGGCCUUGUACACACCGCCCGUCACACCAUGGGAGUGGGUUGCAAAAGAAGUAGGUAGCUUAACCUUCGGGAGGGCGCUUACCACUUUGUGAUUCAUGACUGGGGUGAAGUCGUAACAAGGUAACCGUAGGGGAACCUGCGGUUGGAUCACCUCCUU
rnacentral:rRNA from 1 species